rnacentral:lncRNA from 1 species
UGGUGCUCCGCCCCACCAAGCCCCGGUUCUACCUGCAGGGCGCGGUGGUGCUGCAGUUCAACUACACCGGCCCACCCAGCAACCUGCUCUCCACCGUCUUCCAGGUCACCAUCGCCUCCCGCAACCCCAACGACCGCAUCGGCAUCUACUACGACCGCAUCUUCGUCUACGCCGCCUACAAGAACCAGCAGAUCAGCCUCGCCACCGCCCUGCCCCCGAUGUACCAGGGCCACAACGACGUCGUCAUCUGGUCGCCCUACCUCUUCGGCCCCAACGUCCCGGUGGCGCCCUACCUCUGCGACGCCCUCACCCAAGACAAGGCUUCCGGCUUCCUCAUCCUCCACGUCAAGAUCGACGGCCGCAUAAGAUGGAAGGUCGGCUCCUGGACCUCCGACCACUACCACCUCUUCGUCAGCUGCCCGGCCUUCCUCACCUUUCAAAACGGGAGGUCAGGAUCCGGCGCCGCCGUCAGGUUCCAGCAGAUGUCCGCCUGCAGCGUCGAAGUCUAAGGACGCCGAGCUCCAGUCUGUGUCUUUAGC